rnacentral:misc_RNA from 1 species
CACAUUUAAGUCAUAAGUUUAGGUAAAUUCUUUAGCUGUGAAAACGAUAAUCUUGAGUUCAUAAGGUCGAUUAUUUUGUUGUUGAGCAAGAUGGUUAUUUUUACUUUCUCACUAUGAAUAGUUGCAUCAGUAAACGCUUGAGGGUUUUAUUCUGAUAUCUCCAGGUCUUGAGUGAUCAUUGCUGAGAAUUUACCCGGAGUAGCUUACAAGGAAUCUGUAUGAAAAGGAAGUGGUUGCUCUCCUUUUGCAACUUGGAAAAGAACCCGAACCUGAAGUAAUCACUCUAUAAUGGAAGUUUCUGUAGCUCAAAAUGUUUUCGAAGGAUUUUCGAGGAUAGUGGUGAGAUAUUAUUAUCAACAAAAGAAUGAUCCCUUUACAAAAUUGGAUUCGGACAAACUUUACGCAAAAGAAGGAAAUGGCAUAUUAUCACCAGGAAUCCAUAAGAGCUAGUCCCAUUUGAGGGAAAAAAGUAUCCACAGACACAAGCCUGGUCCAAAAUCAGCCAUAGUAGCAGCCUAUAACAGUAGAGUUCUUUUUAUUUUCUUGUUUCUCGGAAUCUUUGAAUAAAGAACUUAGGAAAUGGAGAAUCUCCAUGCUCAGGGGUUUUUAUUGGUUGAUGAGAGAAUAUAUAAGGAAAAAGAUCUUAAUCAUUUUCUUUUAAGAAUUGAUCUUAAUCUUCUUCUCAUCUGACAUUGUUACCAUAGAACUGUUGUUUUUGUUCUUUUUUUUAAGAGUGAUUUUAUCAGUAAACUGCCACUGCUUUUGUUGAUUUUUGUCUAACAUUUG